ACAAAUCCGUUGGGGUGCCUGCUUGUCAGGCUGAGAGGCGACCCGCCAACCCAUCGAACCUGAUCCGGUUUAUACCGGCGUAGGGAACGGAAAUGCCAUGGCC
rfam:Roseovarius marisflavi strain DSM 29327 genome assembly, contig: Ga0131176_105